rnacentral:rRNA from 1 species
UAAUUUGCCUCGGGUGGGGAAUAACAGUCGGAAACGGCUGCUAAUACCGCAUAAUGCAGCGGCAUCAUAAGAUGACAGUUGUUAAAGCGGGGGAUCGUAAGACCUCGCGCCUGAAGAGAAGCCCGCGGCGGAUUAGGUAGUUGGUGAGGUAAUGGCUCACCAAGCCCGCGAUCCGUAACCGGCCUGAGAGGGCGGUCGGUCACACUGACACUGACAUACGGGUCAG